rnacentral:rRNA from 1 species
GGGUUGUGAGGUUAAGCGACUAAGCGUACACGGUGGAUGCCCUGGCAGUCAGAGGCGAUGAAGGACGUGCUAAUCUGCGAUAAGCGUCGGUAAGGUGAUAUGAACCGUUAUAACCGGCGAUUUCCGAAUGGGGAAACCCAGUGUGUUUCGACACACUAUCAUUAACUGAAUCCAUAGGUUAAUGAGGCGAACCGGGGGAACUGAAACAUCUAAGUACCCCGAGGAAAAGAAAUCAACCGAGAUUCCCCCAGUAGCGGCGAGCGAACGGGGAGCAGCCCAGAGCCUGAAUCAGUGUGUGUGUUAGUGGAAGCGUCUGGAAAGGCGCGCGAUACAGGGUGACAGCCCCGUACACAAAAAUGCACAUGCUGUGAGCUCGAUGAGUAGGGCGGGACACGUGGUAUCCUGUCUGAAUAUGGGGGGACCAUCCUCCAAGGCUAAAUACUCCUGACUGACCGAUAGUGAACCAGUACCGUGAGGGAAAGGCGAAAAGAACCCCGGCGAGGGGAGUGAAAAAGAACCUGAAACCGUGUACGUACAAGCAGUGGGAGCACGCUUCGGCGUGUGACUGCGUACCUUUUGUAUAAUGGGUCAGCGACUUAUAUUCUGUAGCAAGGUUAACCGAAUAGGGGAGCCGAAGGGAAACCGAGUCUUAACUGGGCGUUAAGUUGCAGGGUAUAGACCCGAAACCCGGUGAUCUAGCCAUGGGCAGGUUGAAGGUUGGGUAACACUAACUGGAGGACCGAACCGACUAAUGUUGAAAAAUUAGCGGAUGACUUGUGGCUGGGGGUGAAAGGCCAAUCAAACCGGGAGAUAGCUGGUUCUCCCCGAAAGCUAUUUAGGUAGCGCCUCGUGAAUUCAUCUCCGGGGGUAGAGCACUGUUUCGGCAAGGGGGUCAUCCCGACUUACCAACCCGAUGCAAACUGCGAAUACCGGAGAAUGUUAUCACGGGAGACACACGGCGGGUGCUAACGUCCGUCGUGAAGAGGGAAACAACCCAGACCGCCAGCUAAGGUCCCAAAGUCAUGGUUAAGUGGGAAACGAUGUGGGAAGGCCCAGACAGCCAGGAUGUUGGCUUAGAAGCAGCCAUCAUUUAAAGAAAGCGUAAUAGCUCACUGGUCGAGUCGGCCUGCGCGGAAGAUGUAACGGGGCUAAACCAUGCAC